rfam:Helicobacter pylori 26695, complete genome.
GUGUUUUUUAGAUGGAAAACUCCUUUAUUCUUUAACAGAUGUUUUCUGUUCUUUUUUUGGCAUAAACAAACAAAUCGUUGGUUUGUGCUAUACCACAUGUUAGUAUCAGCAAGUGGGGUAUUCUUUGAGAUUUGGAGUUAGAUUAGGGUGGUUUUGUAAAAUAUUUAUUAUUUUAUGCUCCUUUGUAAGUUCACCGCCCUGAACUAGUUCUUU